GCUUUAAAAUACCAAAAAUAUAAGCAAAUUAUACUGUAUUUUUAAAAGUUAGUCUAAAAAGGUACAGCCUUUUAGAGAUGGAUACAACCUUAACUAGAGAGUAAAAUUUAAUAAUACCAUAGUAGGCCUAAAAGCAGCCACCAAUUAAGAAAGCGUUAAAGCUCAACAAUAAAAUUAUAUAAAUUCCAAAAACAAGAAAUCAACUCCUAGCCCAAUACUGGACUAAUCUAUAAAAAUAGAAGCAAUAAUGUUAAUAUGAGUAACAAGAAGCAUCUUCUCCCUGCAUAAGUUUAAGUCAGUAUCUGAUAAUACCCUGACUAUUAACAGCAAAAUAAGAAUAAUCUAAUUAUUAAUGACUUAUUAAUUGUACUGUUAAUCCAACACAGGAAUGCACUUAAGGAAAGAUUAAAAGAAGUAAAAGGAACUCGGCAAACACUAAACCCCGCCUGUUUACCAAAAACAUCACCUCCAGCAUUACUAGUAUUGGAGGCACUGCCUGCCCAGUGACUAACCGUUAAACGGCCGCGGUAUCCUGACCGUGCAAAGGUAGCAUAAUCACUUGUUCUCUAAAUAAGGACUUGUAUGAAUGGCCAAACGAGGGUUUUACUGUCUCUUACUUCCAAUCAGUGAAAUUGACCUUCCCGUGAAGAGGCGGGAAUGAACUAAUAAGACGAGAAGACCCUAUGGAGCUUUAACUACUUAACCCAAAGAAAUAAACUUAACUACUAAGGAGACAAUAAUAUUCUCUAUGGGUUAACAGCUUUGGUUGGGGUGACCUCGGAGAACAAAAAAUCCUCCGAGCGAUUCUAAAGACUAGACCUACAAGUCGAAUCGUAUAAUCGCUUAUUGAUCCAAAAAUUGAUCAACGGAACAAGUUACCCUAGGGAUAACAGCGCAAUCCUAUUUAAGAGUCCAUAUCGCCAAUAGGGUUUACGACCUCGAUGUUGGAUCA
rnacentral:rRNA from 1 species